rnacentral:rRNA from 1 species
AGAACGAACGCUGGCGGCAUGCCUAAUACAUGCAAGUCGAACGAACACUUCGGUGUUAGUGGCGCACAGGUGCGUAACGCGUGGGAAUCUGCCCUUGGGUUCGGAAUAACAGUUGGAAACGACUGCUAAUACCGGAUGAUGACGAAAGUCCAAAGAUUUAUCGCCCAGGGAUGAGCCCGCGUAGGAUUAGCUAGUUGGUGAGGUAAAGGCUCACCAAGGCGACGAUCCUUAGCUGGUCUGAGAGGAUGAUCAGCCACACUGGGACUGAGACACGGCCCAGACUCCUACGGGAGGCAGCAGUAGGGAAUAUGGACAAUGGGCGAAAGCCUAGAUCCAGCAAUGCCGCGUGAGUGAUGAAGGCUUAGGGUUGUAAAGCUUCUUUACCGAGAUGAUAAGUGACAGUAGUCGGAGAAUACGGCCCCGACUAACCUCCGCGACCAGCAGGCCGUAC